rnacentral:rRNA from 1 species
CGGACGGGUGAGUAACGCGUGAGAAUCUGCCUCCAGGUCGGGGACAACAGCGGGAAACUGCUGCUAAUCCCGGAUAAGCCCUAGGGUAAAAGAUUUAUUGCCUGGAGAGGAGCUCGCGUCCGAUUAGCUAGAUGGUGAGGUAAGAGCUCACCAUGGCGACGAUCGGUAGCUGUUCUGAGAGGAAGAUCAGCCACACUGGGACUGAGACACGGCCCAGACUCCUACGGGAGGCAGCAGUGGGGAAUUUUCCGCAAUGGGCGAAAGCCUGACGGAGCAAGACCGCGUGCGGGAAGAAGGCCCUUGGGUCGUAAACCGCUUUUCUUAGGGAAGAAGCUCUGACGGUACCUAAGGAAUCAGCCUCGGCUAACUCCGUGCCAGCAGCCGCGGUAAUACGGAGGAGGCAAGCGUUAUCCGGAAUUAUUGGGCGUAAAGCGUCCGCAGGCGGCUUAUCAAGUCUGCUGUCAAAGACUGGGGCUCAACCCUGGGGAGGCAGUGGAAACUGAGAAGCUAGAGUGCAGCAGGGGUAGAGGGAAUUCCCAGUGUAGCAGUGAAAUGCGUAGAGAUUGGGAAGAACACCGGUGGCGAAAGCGCUCUACUGGGCUGCAACUGACGCUGAGGGACGAAAGCUAGGGGAGCGAAAGGGAUUAGAUACCCCUGUAGU